CUUUUAGUGUGUCUGAUUUCGGCCCGAAAAUUUCGUUCAAGAUCAUGGACAGCCUUCGGGAAGAUAUACUAGCGGGGAAGCUGAAGUCUGGAAGUGAGAUAAAGGAGGCUUUGAAGAUGAGCGUGCUCCAGUUGUUGACAAGCAAGGGCAGUAAGACAGAGCUUCAGCUGGGAUUUAGAAAACCUGCAGUGAUUAUGAUUGUUGGUGUUAAUGUAGGGGGAAAGACAA